rnacentral:lncRNA from 1 species
UGAUAUCGACUUCAUUUACAUCCAGCAAUCGCGCGAUGGAACAAGUUGUUGAGGUGGGGUGGCGACAAGUGGUGACAAAUCCAAGAGUCUGGGUUGUUUAUUUCUGCCAGAAUGUGGGCAACGGAUUGAUACUCCUUUUCAUAUUCAGACAAUUAUCUGUUUCUGGGUUGCGUUUCAUGUUGACUGCUACAUGGACGUUGACACUUGUUGGUCAUUCGAUCGGCCGCUUGUUCACAGUGUCAUGACAGCAGCAGCUUGGUGGGAUUGCUCUGUUUGUGUAGGAUUAUAGAUUCGUGGUGGCAUGGAGGUGGCUUUGUAUUUCAAUGUUGUAGCAAAGUUUUCUUGUGUGGGUUUCUUGUCUGCGAUUUGUGUAAGGUAGCCAACUCAUUUCCAAUAACUUAAGCAGUAUAGCAUAUCUCUUGUACAUGAAUGAAGGAAAAAAAGAAAAAGGAAAAGAAAAAAAGAUUCCAAGUGUUUUUACAUAAUUUUGCCCCAAAACAUAUACAUGCAU